UACGAAGGGUGCAAACGUUGCUCGGAAUCAUUGGGCGUAAAGCGCACGUAGGCGGCUUGCCAAGUCGGACGUGAAAUCCCUCAGCUCAACUGAGGACGUGCAUCCGAAACUGGCGAGCUUGAGUGCUGAAGAGGAUCGCGGAAUUCCCGGUGUAGCGGUGAAAUGCGCAGAUAUCGGGAGGAACACCAAUGGCGAAGGCAGCUCGCUGGGACGUUACUGACGCUGAGACGCGAAAGCGUGGGGAGCAAACAGG
rnacentral:rRNA from 1 species